CUGAAUCAGUGUGUGUGUUAGUGGAAGCGUCUGGAAAGGCGCGCGAUACAGGGUGACAGCCCCGUACACAAAAAUGCACAUACUGUGAGCUCGAUGAGUAGGGCGGGACACGUGGUAUCCUGUCUGAAUAUGGGGGGACCAUCCUCCAAGGCUAAAUACUCCUGACUGACCGAUAGUGAACCAGUACCGUGAGGGAAAGGCGAAAAGAACCCCGGCGAGGGGAGUGAAAAAGAACCUGAAACCGUGUACGUACAAGCAGUGGGAGCCUCUUUUAUGGGGUGACUGCGUACCUUUUGUAUAAUGGGUCAGCGACUUAUAUUCUGUAGCAAGGUUAACCGAAUAGGGGAGCCGAAGGGAAACCGAGUCUUAACUGGGCGUUAAGUUGCAGGGUAUAGACCCGAAACCCGGUGAUCUAGCCAUGGGCAGGUUGAAGGUUGGGUAACACUAACUGGAGGACCGAACCGACUAAUGUUGAAAAAUUAGCGGAUGACUUGUGGCUGGGGGUGAAAGGCCAAUCAAACCGGGAGAUAGCUGGUUCUCCCCGAAAGCUAUUUAGGUAGCGCCUCGUGAAUUCAUCUCCGGGGGUAGAGCACUGUUUCGGCAAGGGGGUCAUCCCGACUUACCAACCCGAUGCAAACUGCGAAUACCGGAGAAUGUUAUCACGGGAGACACACGGCGGGUGCUAACGUCCGUCGUGAAGAGGGAAACAACCCAGACCGCCAGCUAAGGUCCCAAAGUCAUGGUUAAGUGGGAAACGAUGUGGGAAGGCCCAGACAGCCAGGAUGUUGGCUUAGAAGCAGCCAUCAUUUAAAGAAAGCGUAAUAGCUCACUGGUCGAGUCGGCCUGCGCGGAAGAUGUAACGGGGCUAAACCAUGCAC
rnacentral:rRNA from 1 species